rnacentral:rRNA from 1 species
GAUGAACGCUGGCGGCGUGCCUAAUACAUGCAAGUCGAGCGAACGGACGAGAAGCUUGCUUUUCUGAUGUUAGCGGCGGACGGGUGAGUAACACGUGGAUAACCUACCUAUAAGACUGGGAUAACUUCGGGAAACCGGAGCUAAUACCGGAUAAUAUUUUGAACCGCAUGGUUCAAAAGUGAAAGACGGUCUUGCUGUCACUUAUAGGUGGAUCCGCGCUGCAUUAGCUAGUUGGUAAGGUAACGGCUUACCAAGGCAACGAUACAUAGCCGACCUGAGAGGGUGAUCGGCCACACUGGAACUGAGACACGGUCCAGACUCCUACGGGAGGCAGCAGUAGGGAAUCUUCCGCAAUGGGCGAAAGCCUGACGGAGCAACGCCGCGUGAGUGAUGAAGGUCUUCGGAUCGUAAAACUCUGUUAUUAGGGAAGAACAUAUGUGUAAGUAACUGUGCACAUCUUGACGGUACCUAAUCAGAAAGCCACGGCUAACUACGUG